GAAUAUUGGACAAUGGGGGGAACCCUGAUCCAGCCAUGCCGCGUGUGUGAGGAAGGCCUUUUGGUUGUAAAGCACUUUAAGCGAGGAGGAGGCUACUGUAGUUAAUACCUAGAGAUAGUGGACGUUACUCGCAGAAUAAGCACCGGCUACCGCUGUGCCAGCAGCCGGGGUAAUACUGAGGGUGCAAGCGUUAAUCGGAUUUACUUGGCGUAAAGCGCGCGUAGGUGGCCAAUUAAGUCAAAUGUGAAAUCCCCGAGCUUAACUUGGGAAUUGCAUUCGAUACUGGUUGGCUAGAGUAUGGGAGAGGAUGGUAGAAUUCCAGGUGUAGCGGUGAAAUGCGUAGAGAUCUGGAGGAAUACCGAUGGCGAAGGCAGCCAUCUGGCCUAAUACUGACACUGAGGUGCGAAAACAUGGGGAGCAAAC
rnacentral:rRNA from 1 species